CAGAGGAUCCCUGUACUUCCAAGACAGAGUGUUCAUUGAGAUCAGCCUCACAGCCGUGCCCUCUGGAUCACAGCCCAGGAGCAUGGAAAAUCCCACUUCUUGGCCUCUCCAGCACUCCCCUUUCCUACUUGUUUAUUGGCUGGGCUGAUAGUUGCUGGUUGUCUACAACAAAGAUCCCACUGGGGGGGCUAAUACUCAGGUAUUGCCAGACUGAAAUAAAGGGAGAUGUUCAGCCUCAGGUGUAGAAGCAGUGAGACAAUUUCCCACCACGGAGGAAGAUGAAGAGCAGGAGAGGAGAGGCUGGCGGCUCCCAGGAGCAGAUCACCUGCCCCCACUGCAAGGCCCCCGUGUGCUCAAUAAACUGACCCUUGCGCAGAGACUAAGGCUCACUUAUUGGAAACUAUUAUUGUUACAGUUACUAAGUAAUUAACAAGUGAUGCAUAGGGCUGGUCAGUUAUGUGACUAUACGUGCGCGUGUGUGCACGCACGAGUGCAUGUUUAGUUCAUUACAGAAACACCAUCAUUUCUUUGUAAUCAGCUGAAAUCACCACUCAUUAGUGGGCCUCUCGUGGGCUAUAACUGAUUUUACAGCCACCUGUCAUUUCUUUUUUCUUUACAACUUUGUGCGUUUGUGUUUUUCAUGGCAUGCUCAGGGUACACUAUGUUCUGCACGCAAGCAGGGGGCUGCACGGGCUCCAGCUCCCCUUCUCAGGCACGUCCCUCUCGAUGUAAUGUGUAGGAUGGAACUUCUUCCCAUGCGCUCUGUGAAGGGGCCCCGCAGCUCCCCAGCUGGACAGCUGCUCUGGAGACUUUGGCAGGGCUGGGCACCUGUGGAGCCUGAGGCCAGACCCAGGGAGCCACACUGUGGGAACCACAGGGCACCUGGAACAUAGGUUUAAUC
rnacentral:lncRNA from 1 species